AUUUCCACAAAAGGGCGUUAUAGAAUAAAGUUUGUAAGUCUGUCAUUGGAUAGUGAAGAAAACCACAAAUAUGAAGGAAACGAUUCCCUGGUAAUCUAUCUUGAUGUCAAAUUAUCAAAGUUAAGAUUUUCGCCAUUAUGAGACCACAUCGCUAAUGGCCUGUCCACGACUUCUCAUAUCCUGCAAAUGAAGCGACUUCCUUAAACUGAUAUGAUUGUCAAAAAAUAUUUUUGGGGGGAUGAAAAUCCAAGCGCAGCGUUCUUUUCAAACAGUCACAAACAUGCAGCUGAGCUACUAUAUCAUCGGAGUUAUUUUUUCGUGUUCCUUGGUUGUUGUGGCCAUUGUAUUUGGCAACACAAUGACUCUUCUAGCUAUAGUAAGAACACCUAGGUUGAAUACAGUUCAUAAUCAAUUUAUCGCGGGUCUUGCUGUCGCUGAUUUAUUGGUAUGUGUAUUACUAAAAUUAUACUUUAAUUUAAUAAAUAUCGCUAAACGUUUCAUUUUUUUAGACUGCAGUCGCUUUGAUUUAUAAUGUUUUUAUGACAUUCUUUGGAAGGCACAUGACGGAUUGGAAUCGUUCGUAUGGCGAAUUUCUAAUUGAUUGCGUCUCACCUUUAAUGCCAGUCGUUAUAUCGUCGAUUGCUUCAAAUCUUCACCUGGCUUGUAUUUUCAUGGAUUGCUUUUUAGCCGUGACCCAUCCUUUCUUCCAUCGUCGAUUCAUGACUAAAAGGAAAGCUCGAAUUACCAUUUAUUCAAUUUAUGCGUAUGCUGCAUUCACGGCGUGUUUUAUGAUGUUUGUAAACAAUUGGGACCUUUGGAAGGAUUACGACGAUAAAUAUUUUUCAUGCGAACCCUUUGCAAUGCCCUUCAACUACUUCAUUUGCGCAUUAUUAUUACCUUUCAUAAUGAUACUGGUAAUGUUGGUGCUAGGCUACGGAAGAGUACUCUUUGUAGCCUUGUCUAGAUUUCCUGAUAGUUAUAAACCAAUAAAGACAGUCAUGACGAUAAUGAGUUGCUAUUGCAUUUGCUGGAUUCCACUGGUGAUUCGCAUGUUUCUCGAGUUAAAUAGUUUCCGUGAGCAAGAACACUCGUUACCAAACUAUUAUUUCCAAACGUACUCUUUCCUACUCAUGUGCUCGCAAUCGUUCUUGAACCCAAUAAUUUAUGCUUACCAAUCUACGGAAUUUCGUGAAGCCUUCAAAAUGAUACUUUGUUGGCGUCAAGAAUUUAGUGUCCCACAUCCUCAGAAAAUCAAUGUUUUAACUCCAGUGGCAACAGUUUCAACCAACAUUUG